AGGCUUAACACAUGCAAGUCGAGGGGCAGCAUGAACUAGCAAUAGUUUGAUGGCGACCGGCGCACGGGUGAGUAACACGUAUCCAACCUGCCAUUCACUUGGGGAUAGCCUUUCGAAAGAAAGAUUAAUACCCGAUGGUAUAUGUUCUUCGCAUGUUGAACAUAUUAAAGAAUUUCGGUGUUUGAUGGGGAUGCGUUCCAUUAGGUUGUUGGCGGGGUAACGGCCCACCAAGCCAUCGAUGGAUAGGGGUUCUGAGAGGAAGGUCCCCCACACUGGUACUGAGACACGGACCAGACUCCUACGGGAGGCAGCAGUGAGGAAUAUUGGUCAAUGGGCGCGAGCCUGAACCAGCCAAGUAGCGUGAAGGAUGACUGCCCUAUGGGUUGUAAACUUCUUUUAUAAGGGAAUAAAGUGUGGUACGUGUACCAUUUUGUAUGUACCUUAUGAAUAAGGAUCGGCUAACUCCGUGCCAGCAGCCGCGGUAAUACGGAGGAUCCGAGCGUUAUCCGGAUUUAUUGGGUUUAAAGGGUGCGUAGGCGGAUGUUUAAGUCAGCUGUGAAAGUUGAGGCUCAACCUUAAAAUUGCAGUUGAUACUGGACGUCUUGAGUGUAGUGGAGGCCGGUGGAAUUCGUGGUG
rnacentral:rRNA from 1 species